rnacentral:rRNA from 1 species
GACGAACGCUGGCGGCGUGCUUAACACAUGCAAGUCGAACGGAAAGGCCCUUCGGGGUACUCGAGUGGCGAACGGGUGAGUAACACGUGGGUGAUCUGCCCUGCACUUUGGGAUAAGCCUGGGAAACUGGGUCUAAUACCGAAUAGGACUACGCUCUUCAUGGGGUGUGGUGGAAAGCUUUUGCGGUGUGGGAUGGGCCCGCGGCCUAUCAGCUUGUUGGUGGGGUAAUGGCCUACCAAGGCGACGACGGGUAGCCGGCCUGAGAGGGUGACCGGCCACACUGGGACUGAGAUACGGCCCAGACUCCUACGGGAGGCAGCAGUGGGGAAUAUUGCACAAUGGGCGCAAGCCUGAUGCAGCGACGCCGCGUGA